UUAUUGGAGAGUUUGAUCCUGGCUCAGGAUGAACGCUGGCGGCGUGCCUAAUACAUGCAAGUCGAGCGAAUGGAUUAAGAGCUUGCUCUUAUGAAGUUAGCGGCGGACGGGUGAGUAACACGUGGGUAACCUGCCCAUAAGACUGGGAUAACUCCGGGAAACCGGGGCUAAUACCGGAUAACAUUUUGAACCGCAUGGUUCGAAAUUGAAAGGCGGCUUCGGCUGUCACUUAUGGAUGGACCCGCGUCGCAUUAGCUAGUUGGUGAGGU
rnacentral:rRNA from 1 species